rnacentral:rRNA from 1 species
AAUCAACGCUGGCGGCGUGCCUAACACAUGCAAGUCGAACGAGAAAGUGGAGCAAUCCAUGAGUAAAGUGGCGACCGGGUGAGUAACACGUGACCAAUCUACCCUUGAGUGGGGGAGUAACCUCGGGAACCGGGGCGUAAUACCGCAUAACAUCUUCGGGACGGAAGUACUGAAGAUCAAAGGAGCAAUUCGCUUAAGGAGGAGGUCGCGGCUGAUUAGCUAGUUGGCGGGGUAAUGGCCCACCAAGGCGAAGAUCGGUAGCCGGCCUGAGAGGGCGCACGGCCACACUGGAACUGAAACACGGUCCAGACUCCUACGGGAGGCAGCAGUGGGGAAUUUUGCGCAAUGGGGGAAACCCUAGACGCAGCAACGCCGCGUGGAGGAUGAAGUCCCUUGGGACGUAAACUCCUUUCGACCCGGACGAUAAUGACGGUACGGGUGG